rnacentral:misc_RNA from 1 species
GAAAUGCGAUAAGUAAUGUGAAUUGCAGAAUUCAGUGAAUCAUCGAAUCUUUGAACGCACAUUGCGCCCGGCAGCAAUCUGCCGGACAUGCCUGUCCGAGCGUCAUUUCUGCCCUCGAGCGCGGUUCGGCCCCUAGCGGGCCGGCCGCCGCCCGGUGUUGGGGCGCUGCGGGCCCUCGUGCCCGCAGGCCCUGAAAUGAAGUGGCGGUCCCGCCGCGGCGCCCCCUGCGUAGUAGUAAAGCACCUCGCAUCGGGUCCCGGCGGAGGCCAGCCGUCGAACCUCUCUUUUGAUGGUUUGACCUCGGAUCAGGUAGGGUUACCCGCUGAACUUAAGC